UACGUAGGGGGCUAGCGUUGUCCGGAUUUAUUGGGCGUAAAGAGCGUGUAGGCGGCCAUGUAGGUCCGGUGUGAAAACUCGAGGCUUAACCUUGAGAUGUCAUCGGAAACCAUUUGGCUAGAGUCCGGAAGAGGAGAGUGGAAUUCCUGGUGUAGCGGUGAAAUGCGCAGAUAUCAGGAAGAACACCAAUGGCGAAAGCAGCUCUCUGGGACGGUACUGACGCUGAGACGCGAAAGCGUGGGGAGCGAACAGG
rnacentral:rRNA from 1 species